rnacentral:rRNA from 1 species
GUGAACCUUUACUAUAGCUUGACACUGAACAUUGAGCCUUGAUGUGUAGGAUAGGUGGGAGGCUUUGAAGUGUGGACGCCAGUCUGCAUGGAGCCGACCUUGAAAUACCACCCUUUAAUGUUUGAUGUUCUAACGUUGACCCGUAAUCCGGGUUGCGGACAGUGUCUGGUGGGUAGUUUGACUGGGGCGGUCUCCUCCUAAAGAGUAACGGAGGAGCACGAAGGUUGGCUAAUCCUGGUCGGACAUCAGGAGGUUAGUGCAAUGGCAUAAGCCAGCUUGACUGCGAGCGUGACGGCGCGAGCAGGUGCGAAAGCAGGUCAUAGUGAUCCGGUGGUUCUGAAUGGAAGGGCCAUCGCUCAACGGAUAAAAGGUACUCCGGGGAUAACAGGCUGAUACCGCCCAAGAGUUCAUAUCGACGGCGGUGUUUGGCACCUCGAUGUCGGCUCAUCACAUCCUGGGGCUGAAGUAGGUCCCAAGGGUAUGGCUGUUCGCCAUUUAAAGUGGUACGCGAGCUGGGUUUAGAACGUCGUGAGACAGUUCGGUCCCUA